rnacentral:rRNA from 1 species
GACGAACGCUGGCGGCGUGCUUAACACAUGCAAGUCGAACGGUAAGGCUCCAGCUUGCUGGGGUACACGAGUGGCGAACGGGUGAGUAACACGUGGGUGACCUGCCCUGCACUUCGGGAUAAGCCUGGGAAACUGGGUCUAAUACCGGAUAGGACUGCACCGUGAGGGUGUGGUGGAAAGUUUUUUCGGUGUGGGAUGGGCCCGCGGCCUAUCAGCUUGUUGGUGGGGUAAUGGCCUACCAAGGCGGCGACGGGUAGCCGGCCUGAGAGGGUGGACGGCCACAUUGGGACUGAGACACGGCCCAGACUCCUACGGGAGGCAGCAGUGGGGAAUAUUGCACAAUGGGCGGAAGCCUGAUGCAGCGACGCCGCGUGGGGGAUGACGGCCUUCGGGUUGUAAACUCCUUUCACCAUCGACGAAGGGUUUCUGACGGUAGAUGGAGAAGAAGCACCGGCUAACUACGUGCCAGCAGCCGCGGUAAUACGUAGGGUGCGAGCGUUGUCCGGAAUUACUGGGCGUAAAGAGCUCGUAGGUGGUUUGUCGCGUCGUCUGUGAAAUUCCGGGGCUUAACUCCGGGCGUGCAGGCGAUACGGGCAUAACUUGAGUACUGUAGGGGAGACUGGAAUUCCUGGUGUAGCGGUGAAAUGCGCAGAUAUCAGGAGGAACACCGGUGGCGAAGGCGGGUCUCUGGGCAGUAACUGACGCUGAGGAGCGAAAGCAUGGGGAGCGAACAGGAUUAGAUACCCUGGUAGUCCAUGCCGUAAACGGUGGGCGCUAGGUGUGGGUUUCCUUCCACGGGAUCCGUGCCGUAGCUAACGCAUUAAGCGCCCCGCCUGGGGAGUACGGCCGCAAGGCUAAAACUCAAAGGAAUUGACGGGGGCCCGCACAAGCGGCGGAGCAUGUGGAUUAAUUCGAUGCAACGCGAAGAACCUUACCUGGGCUUGACAUAUACAGGAUCGCGCCAGAGAUGGUGUUUCCCUUGUGGCUUGUAUACAGGUGGUGCAUGGUUGUCGUCAGCUCGUGUCGUGAGAUGUUGGGUUAAGUCCCGCAACGAGCGCAACCCUUGUCUUAUGUUGCCAGCACGUUGUGGUGGGGACUCGUAAGAAACUGCCGGGGCUAACUCGGAGGAAGGUGGGGAUGACGUCAAAUCAUCAUGCCCCUUAUGUCCAGGGCUUCACACAUGCUACAAUGGUCGGUACAGUGGGUUGCCAGUCCGUGAGGGCGAGCUAAUCCCGCAAAGCCGGUCUCAGUUCGGAUCGGGGUCUGCAACUCGACCCCGUGAAGUCGGAGUCGCUAGUAAUCGCAGAUCAGCAACGCUGCGGUGAAUACGUUCCCGGGCCU